rnacentral:lncRNA from 1 species
AGCAAAUACAUGUAUGUCCUUGGCAGCACACUGACCGCCACUUGAAAGCUCCGAGGAGCUCGAGCUGUGCCUAAUGAGUCGCAGCUCGUGACGUCAUCACUUGGCGCUGCCACUCCUUUCCGAGCAUGUGCAUGGCCUCUGUGGGUGCUGCUCUGAUGCUCGGCUUGGUUUGCAUGCUGACAGAGAGGGCUCUGCAUGACAUAGGUUUGCCAUCACUAUGCUAAGGUGUGCUGCACCCACUGGAGAGGGCACCUGCUGUCUGGUGAGCUCUGAGUGUUUACCAACACCGUUACAGCGGGACUGCAGGGAUGUGGCAGGGUGCUGUGAGGACAGGCUGGGAAGAGCAGGCGUAAUAAUCCAUACAGGGAAGAUGACAGUAAUUGGGAGAAGCCACUAGCACUGGCCACAGCUUUAAGGGUGCCCGAAGCCUGAGGACGCACCCUUGGGUACCGGGCACACCUGCUGUGGGGCUGACACGUGGCUCCUUCAGUUUUACCAAGACGUGAUGGAAACUUGGUUGACAACGUGUUGUGUUCUGAGAAGAAUGAGGCCACCUGAUGCAAAAGUGGACGCGGGAUCAAACUGGGAAGAAAUCUUUCAUGUCAGUUUUCUGAGACUAUUCAUACUCAUCUGUGUCACGGUAACAGCAUAUCUCAUCUUAAAAGUGAAAUGCUAAGUGUCUGAGGAACAGGUUGUACUGCUCAAUGACCAGGGUAAUCAGCACGAACCUAACAUUUAUCCUGAUAAUAACCAGUGAAUGUGCAAAGGGGAAGAGACAGACUUACUGCAUCCAUGAAAACACCGUGUCCCUCUUUAACAUUUAUAAUAUCUAUAUAUAGC